AGUGCCCUGGCUAUAGCCACAAAGGGAAACUAGCAGAAGAAAAGAAAAGCAGAGGAGAGGAAGGGAAAGAAAAAGCACAAAGCAGGCUGAGCAGCCACCUGGGGCUGCCUGAGCUGCUGCUGUGGUGGCACUGGAAGAUGGGAACUUGCUUCAGAUCUCCGAACGGAAAAGAGAACAGCUACUCCAGGCCUCUACUAGAAAACUAUCCAUCUGUGCCAUGGAGCUCUUUCAUCACCAGGAGUGAACUGAAAUUCAGGCCAAUAUAAAGAAGAUACUGAACUAGGAUGUGGCAGCAUACAAUGACCAGCACCACUACCAGAUGGAAGGUGCAGGUUUCCAUUGGGGAUGAUGGCUGAGAGGUCAGAUAUAGAGUGAUCGCCUUUCAGAAGACAUGCCUGGGAGCGUAGGUUCAUAACUUUGUUAGACACUUAAAAUCAUGGACUGAAUAGAGACACUGGAUGUAUGUUUUAUUACAAUAAUCUAUAAUCCACUUAUCCCACCCC